rnacentral:lncRNA from 1 species
CUGGAGCAACUUUUUUGGCUUUGAAAGUUUUUUUUCUAUGGAGCUUCUAAUUGGAUUGGAUGAUUUUGGAUGAAGGAGCCGUCAUUAUUUUUGUGCANAGCGUUUUGGUCUGAACGUGGGCAUAGGAAUGAUUUUUAGCAUCACGGUUUUGCCAUGGGUGAAUGAAGAAAGAAUUUUGUUUUUUUUCUUUUUUUAUUUUGCUGCAGCAUGUUUUGUUCUUUUGAAUACUCUUUAUUGAAUCUUUAUUGAAUUAAAGUGCAUUGAGUUUUCCAACAACUGAGAAUCAUCUAGCCUUCCUUUCUUCCAUUGAUUUUACUUUUAUUGUUGAGAAGCAAGUACACAUGCCAUUUAAGAGUCUUGGACGGUCACAACUACCUACUCCUAGUCCACUCAUUUGCUAUUAAUUUACACAUUCCUGUGCAAUUUAUUUUACAUUGAAUUUUCCUUUUAUUAAAGGGUCUGCACACACCAUUUUUCUAUUGCUACACGGAGG